rnacentral:rRNA from 1 species
UACGUAGGGACCGAGCGUUGUCCGGAUUCAUUGGGCGUAAAGGGCUCGUAGGCGGCUGCUCAAGUCGAAUGUGAAAACUCGAGGCUCAACCUCGGGCCUGCAGUGGGUACGGGCAGACUAGAGUGCGGUAGGGGAGAUUGGAAUUCCUGGUGUAGCGGUGGAAUGCGCAGAUAUCAGGAGGAACACCAAUGGCGAAGGCAGAUCUCUGGGCCGUAACUGACGCUGAGGAGCGAAAGCAUGGGGAGCGAACAGG